CUAUGUUAUGCAGUUUAUUUUAUUAUCAUGUGAUGACAUAACCUGAGACUAAAAGCUGUGAUAUACAUUUUGUCCACUAGAGAGAGCCAAAUUAUAUGGACAAGGCCUAUUUGAAAGUGAAAGUCCUGACAUUUACCAAGUAACCCAUCCUCGGAGCUGGUGCUCUGCAUUUAACCCAUCCAAGUGCACACACACAGCAGUGAGAAGUGAACACACAACCAGAGCAGUGGGCAGCUACAGAUCCAGCGCUGGGGAGCAACUGGGGUCUCAGUGCCAGGGUAUUGAGUUCAGUCAUGGGUAUUGAGGGUGGAAGAGAGCGCUGUUCAUUCACUCACUCCCACCUACAACUCCUGCCAGCACCGAGACUUGAACCGGAUACCUUCUUGUAAGUAGUCCAAGUCUCUAACCAUUAGGCCACAAACUUGUGCGAACUUCUAUGUCAAAAUCAAAUUCUCCAGUCAAAAACCCUUACAUGAUCUAUCAAUAUCAAACUUUGGCCUCAGAUGACAAAACCUACAGUACAAAUACACACACUACAAUAGUUUAGCUUCCUUAAAUAUAAUAAGUUAUCUUUACUUAGUUGUUAUACUUACUAGGUUUUAUUAAGUUACAAAAUUUGCUAAUUUUAAGGCAAAUAAAACAACAUGCUGCAAUGAGUAAUUCUUUCUUAAAAUAUUCAAGUAGCUACAACAAAACCGAUGACAUUAAUUCACCAGUGAGAGGCAGCAGUGCGCUAAUGUGCAACAGGAACAAAACAACAGAAGAAAUAAGGACGGUGAGCAUGCGCAGCAAGCAAAGUUUUGAAGCUGCAUCGAAUUUGCUGAAACUAAGAAGUAGAAAGACUGUUUACAUUUCACCUCUGGACAAAGAAUGAUUGAUUACUUCUACACAAUAAUAAUAAGGAAAAAAGCUUGUGUCAGCUGUCUUCUCUGAGCAGCGGUCUUGUGAUCACCAGCCUCAGUAUAAUAAAGAUUUGACAGAACUACACAUCCAUCUGAGGCCUACCUGUUUUAAUUCAUGAUCACCCCGGAUACUUCUACAACUAACCCGCCUUGGUGUCUGAUGCUGAUGCAGUCUGGGCACUAGUAUCUGUUGGCUUGCUGACUAUCACUGACGAUGAAGUACUUCUCCAAAUCUUGACCCAGUGUCUUCUGCCAUCAUUGUUCAGGGUAGUACUGCAAAGAAUAGUCUCCAAGGUCUGCCCCCAACAUUUGCUUCCCGACCACCAUGUGCUACGUUUGCAUCACUACAUGUGGGUUACCCUGAUACUGUGAAGAAAACCUACAAUAUGAUGCUUGACUUGGGACAGAAAAAAAAACAUUGGCAACUUGUGUGGCCAACUCAUUGCCGUAUUUAAAAUCAUUGUACCGCUACCUCCAUUGUUUAACAUAACUAAAAGCAGAUUGUUUUUGCUUUGUUUCAAAAUUUUUGUAAUACGAGUUAAAACUACAUUGAAAAAAAUAUAUCAUCUUUAACUUUGAACUGUCACUACAUUUGAUUUAGGGUAAUUAUGUGUGUGAAGAAUAGAACAUUGUUGUCAUGAAUUUGUAAUAGAUUUUUGAAGUAAUUAAGUUGCUAGAUUAAUGGUAACUUUUUUUUUAAAGGCAAUUGGUCAACUAGAUUUCUGUUCAAGUAAAUACAACUUAGAAAUUCCAAGUUGCAGGAAAUGUUUCUUGAUUUAGCUAAAUUUAAAUGAGUUGUUUGAAAUACGUACAUAGUAUAAUGUACUUAAUUUAGUUGUUGAAAAUAGUAAUUCUGAGUUACACGUUUACAACACUUAUAAAUAAACCUUUGUUAGUACAAAUUACUAUUCUUAUUUCACUUUACUUGUUUUUUUCAAGGCAAUCGGUUUGCAUGCUUUUUUAAAAAAUAAGGUUUACUCAUUAUAAUUUACAGUGCAGACAACCUCCCUGCCCAGUGCACACUAGUGAGAUAAAUUCAAAACACUGUAAUUGUAAUAAAGUACUGUAACUAUACUGUACUACACUGUGUGAUUUUUUUCAGCUCUCUCUCCAGUGCUAGGAUGCAUUUUUAAAGCAGUCACCUGUGCUCCUGUUCAUAAUUUCCUGAGAUGCUACUGAAUGCUACUUAUGGAUAAUUGUGUGUUCUUUGAGUUCACACUGUGACAAUAGA